GACUCUCGGCAACGGAUAUCUCGGCUCUCGCAUCGAUGAAGAACGUAGCGAAAUGCGAUAUAGUAUAUAUUAUAAUAGAUGAGUUUUUACUCAAUUCUCAGCCUAUCCACCUCAGCAUGUGGAUCCCACUAAAUUUCUAUGUAUUAAAAAAAAAUUAUGUUUAAAACUGUUUAA
rnacentral:rRNA from 2 species